CUCUAGCCUGCUAACUAGCAAGGCGAAUCCUUGUGAUUCGUCGCUUGCUUCUUAGAGGGACUAUCGGCAAAAAGCCGAUGGAAGCUUGGAGCUAAAACAGGUCUGUGAUGCCCUUAGAUGUUCUGGGCCGCACGCGCGCUACACUGACGAAGCCAGCGAGUGUACAACCUUGGCCGGAAGGUCCGGGUAAUCUUGUUAAACUUCGUCGUGCUGGGGAUAGUCCAUUGCAAUUAUUGGACUUGAACGAGGAAUUCCUAGUAAGCGCGGUUCAUUAGAUCGCGUUGAUUACGUCCCUGCCCUUUGUACACACCGCCCGUCGCUACUACCGAUUGAAUGGCUUAGUGAGGCCCUCGGAUGGACGCCCGGCUGCUGGCAACGGCGGCCAGGCGUCGAGAAGUUGGACGAACUUGGUCAUUUAGAGGAAGUAAAAGUCG
rnacentral:rRNA from 1 species